AGUGACAUAAUGCAGCAAUGACCAGGUGAAACCUGCUGCUCGGACCAGAACUCUGAUAUGAAGUGAAGCAAAAGGAUGAGGUUGACCUGUGCUGAAGAGCAAGGAGGUC